UACGUAGGGUGCGAGCGUUAAUCGGAAUUACUGGGCGUAAGCGUGCGCAGGCGGUUUUGUAAGCCAGAUGUGAAAUCCCCGGGCUUAACCUGGGAAUGGCAUUUGGGACUGCAAGGCUUGAGUGCGGCAGAGGAGACUGGAAUUCCUGGUGUAGCAGUGAAAUGCGUAGAUAUCAGGAGGAAUACCGAUGGCGAAGGCAGGUCUCUGGGCUGACACUGACGCUCAUGCACGAAAGCGUGGGGAGCAAACAGG
rnacentral:rRNA from 1 species